CCAGUGAAAGCUGGAAUACUGCACUGGAGAAUCAUGUAGUAUGAACAGAAUUCUGUGCCGAUGGACCCCCGAGUGCCAAAAACAAAAGUGAAGAAAAUGACUUGCUGACAGCAAUGCAAAGUUUCGAGCGCAGGGAAUUUUAAGAUAUCCCGUCCAUGGCCUUGGGGUGGAUUCAGACUUGGGUUUCUGCUAUAGCCUUACAGUAUAUGGGUCCUCCAGACAACUUGCUGUGCAGGAGCCCGGCUGUGAUGGGUGGGCGGAUAUACAGCUCCGGACUGACUGGUUCCAGCUGGAGGACCUGCUCAUUAAAUGAAGUCUAGAGCGUCGUCUGUGAGAGGUUCUCAUGCUUCUCACAACACCCGAGCAGUACGCCUGUGACAGUCACUCGCUUCGGUUCCCUGCAGAAGUUAAGGAAGUAGAGUGGGUAGCGGGGAGCUGCUGUUUCAUUUGAUCACUUGUUUUCUCCUGUUUUGUAAA